AAACGGCCGCCGCUGAAAGCCUCAGCGUUAUGCUGGAGAGAGGAGAGUGGAGGCGAAGCAGCUCACCCACCCAUCAACCCACCUCCGAAAGCCUGUGAAGGAACACAAAGGACAGACUUCAAAUUCUCUAUCUGCUUUUCCCAUGGAAGAACAACCACCAAAGCAAAGAGAUCUGCCUGCCUCUGCCUUGGAGACCUGGGAUUAGAGUCUGAAUGACCACCAUGCCCAGCUUAGUUGGUAAAAGUCCUUGCUACCAAGCCUGACAACUUGAGUUCAGUCUCUAGGACCACAUGGAACAAGGAGAAAACUGACACAUGAAGUCCCCACCCCACAACACAAAA